UAGGGAAUCUUCGGCAAUGGACGAAAGUCUGACCGAGCAACGCCGCGUGAGUGAAGAAGGUUUUCGAAUCGUAAAACUCUGUUGGUAGAGAAGAACGUUGGUGAGAGUGGAAAGCUCAUCAAGUGACGGUAACUACCCAGAAAGGGACGGCUAACUACGUGCCCG
rnacentral:rRNA from 1 species